CCUACGGGAGGCUGCAGUGGGGAAUAUUGCACAAUGGGCGCAAGCCUGAUGCAGCCAUGCCGCGUGUGUGAAGAAGGCCUUCGGGUUGUAAAGCACUUUCAGCGGGGAGGAAGGCGUCAAGGUUAAUAACCUUGGCGAUUGACGUUACCCGCAGAAGAAGCACCGGCUAACUCCGUGCCAGCAGCCGCGGUAAUACGGAGGGUGCAAGCGUUAAUCGGAAUUACUGGGCGUAAAGCGCACGCAGGCGGUCUGUCAAGUCGGAUGUGGAAUCCCCGGGCUCAACCUGGGAACUGCAUUCGAAACUGGCAGGCUAGAGUCUUGUAGAGGGGGGUAGAAGUCCAGGUGUAGCGGUGAAAUGCGUAGAGAUCUGGAGGAGUACCGGUGGCGAAGGCGGCCCCCUGGACAAAGACUGACGCGCAGGUGCGUAAGCGUGGGGAGCAAACAGGAUUAGAUACCCCAGUAGUC
rnacentral:rRNA from 1 species